GACAGAGGCCUCAAGCGUUAGGCGGAAUCACUGGGCUUAAAGCGUGUGUAGGCGGAUCGUUAAGUGUCUUGUGAAAUCCCACGGCUCAACCGUGGAACUGCUGGGCAUACUGGCGAUCUUGGGCCAUUCAGGGGCGACUGGAACAAGCGGUGGAGCGGUGAAAUGCGUAGAUAUCGCUUGGAACGCCGAAGGUGAAAACAGGUCGCUGGGGAUGUGCCGACGCUGAGACACGAAAGCCAGGGGAGCAAACGGG
rnacentral:rRNA from 1 species